GCGUUUGUAGUCCAACGGUUAGGAUAAUUGCCUUCCAAGCAAUAGACCCGGGUUCCCGGCAAACGCA
rfam:Ricinus communis cultivar Hale ctg_1100012357201, whole genome shotgun sequence.